GUGGUUUAUGAUGUACAAACUUUUUUCCCCGUCUUAUCGACUAUGGUGAAAACCAUCUGAUAAUAAGCCAAACAUGUCUGAAACCAC
ensembl:snoRNA